CGCCCUUAGAGUUUGAUCAUGGCUCAGAUUGAACGCUGGCGGCAGGCCUAACACAUGCAAGUCGAACGGUAAGAGAGCUUGCUCUUGACGAGUGGCGGACGGGUGAGUAAUGUCUGGGAAACUGCCCGAUGGAGGGGGAUAACUACUGGAAACGGUAGCUAAUACCGCAUAACGUCUUCGGACCAAAGUGGUUCGUCACACCAUCGGAUGUGCCCAGAUGGGAUUAGCUAGUAGGUGGGGUAAAGGCUCACCUAGGCGACGAUCUCUAGCUGGUCUGAGAGGAUGACCAGCCACACUGGAACUGAGACACGGUCCAGACUCCUACGGGAGGCAGCGGUGGGGAAUAUUGCACAAUGGGCGCAAGCCUGAUGCAGCCAUGCCGCGUGUAUGAAGAAGGCCUUAGGGUUGUAAAGUACUUUUGCGGGGGAGGAAGGCGAUGCGUAAUCGCAUCGAUUGACUUUA
rnacentral:rRNA from 1 species